CUAUGUUGUCUUUCUUGGACGUUUCCUCCCUAAACUUCAGGGGCCGCACUUUGUUGCGGCCCUCUUUUUUUGUCCAAA
rnacentral:sRNA from 2 species